GAAUGUGUGUGGGGCCGGGCCGGGGUUCGUUCCGCCUGGAGACCGGCAGCGACAUGCAAAACGACAAAACAACAACAAGAGUUUGGCACGUCCUCCCAGUAUAAAUAAUGUCCCUAAGAUGGCUGACAUCAUCACAAGCCUAAACCGCAGUUGCUUCCUUACUUUCGUUUCCAGGCUGAACUGCACUGGGACUAAGUCCGGCUCCUGUAAGCCUCUUAAUUUUAAAAGCGUUUUUUUCCCUUUAACCUUCUCUUUCUUCGCGGCCCUUUGGUAGCGGUAGGUGAACUUCGCCGUGGGGUCUGGAGAGGGAGGGAGCGGGCGAGGGGAGAAGGCAAGGUGAUGGUCUGCUCAGAGUAGGUUCUGGCUGUUCACUUUAUAACUGAAAUAUUCCUGGUAAAGGUUACUAAUUACUAUCUGGAUGUUAGUGUAAAACCGACAGUUCACUUUUAAAUUAUAUCAGCAACUUUACGAGAACCCCUUAAGCUAAGUGAAACUAAACAAACUUGUCCUGCGUCUCUUUCAAAAUUGUCCUUCAUCCCUUUUAAAAUUGUCCACCGUCCCUUCAAAAACUCUUCUUUAUUUUACAAAAUCCCCCUUUUAGCCCUAAGCAAAAAUCCGGAGAAGAACUAUUAUCGUGCCACAGUAAUACUCAUUUAGGAUGUGAUUGUAAUUGUCUCAGAAGUUGAAUAAACAGGAAAGGUUCACAACCUUUCUACCAGAUCUUCAGGCUGCAAAUAUUUAAUCCUGUAGAAAUUAGUUGUAGAAUUAUUUAUGUUCUGUAACUUUUAAUUUUUUUGUUAGCAUUUUUGAAGACCUGCUGUAAGUAGGAUAAACUUAGUUUUAACUCUGAAAAACCCAGUAACUUGUGCAGGUAUAAACACUGUUUUUUAAUAUAUUACUACUACUGGGAAACGCAGUGUGAAAAAUGUGUGAAAAUACAGUGUUAAUCUGCACGUGCCUAUACUGGGUUUUUGGAAAUGUUCUAGUUAAAAACACAAAUGUCAGGAGUUGAUUUUUAAAUGACUGUCUUGCCUUGAAAUAGGAAGUGGACAGAUUCCCUAAAAGGAUUAAGCGUUUUGGUAUUGGUAUUUGUUUGCCUGAAUCCAUUGCAAAGUCUAGGUUUUAGAGAAAAUGUUUGGAAUCCACAGAGGAUAAUUCCAGCCGUAAAUUAUUAUCUGAGCUCUGUAUUUGUCUAACAUUCAUUGUACCUAAAUUAGAUUGAUAGUCAAGUACCCUGUCAUAACAGACUGAAAUACAUAUAUAGAGAUUAGGUAGAUUUUAAUCCUAUUACAUAUCUUUUUAAAAAUCCUAUGAACAAAUACAAUUCCUCUCAUUAAAAAAGAGAGGAAGAAAGGAUCCGAUGAUGUCACUUCAGAUAGCUUUUCCCAGUUCCUGUUGUGAAGGAGAUUUGAAACGCUGGACAAAAAUCAGAAAUAAUUUGCUGGGCAGCUGUAAAUCUGAUUUUGGACAUUUAUUGUCAGUUCUGAAAUGAUGACUGUGUUUUCAGAUUCUCAGAAUUUCUCACAAUUUCACCAUAUUCAAAUAUUGUGGUCAUAGCAGCAGUAAAAGAAAAAAAAAAGUAACCAUUCCUAGCUGUUUUCUCAGAUCCCCAUAUCCAAAGAAAAAUGCUAGAACUAAGCUGUGAGGGCCUGUCUUCCUUUAUAACCACACAGCAGUCAUGGAUGAACUGGCAGAUACAAAAUGACUAAUUCUUUUUCGAGCUGUGAACUCGAAGACCUAUUAAGUGAGUGACAGAAUAUUGCUGUAUGUUAGGAGAAUCAUAACCCGUCAGUCACUUAACAGUAAAUGCAAAGCUUGCUUAGUAACAGGCAUUUGCAGACGGUCUCUUAGAGCUCGGACGGUGGUUACAUAAUGUUCUUUGACUCCUCUGGUGACUGUACCGUGACCGCUGAGUCUGACUCCGACCGCUGAGUCUGACUCCGAAUUCUGCACAGAAUCUGUCUUCCUGUGUUUGCCUCGGGCAUUUCCUUGCCUGGUUGGUCAAGAGGAUCCGGUUUAGCUAGUUAGCAAAAACUCCUGAAUAAGAAUUUUGAGUAUCUUUAACUCCCCCAGACCACGGUGUCCUGAAGGCCAUUGUUUCUCCAGUUGUACCCUUAAGGAUCACCUGGUAUCACCUGGGAUUCUGGUUUAAAAAUGCAGUCUUCAGACCUUCUGCAGUAAAGAAUUCUGAUCCCUCCAAUCGGCUGGCUUAUGUAACUCACAUUCCAGUACUUUUACACUGCUCCUGUCUUUUGUUAUUUCUUUAACUCUUUUCUCUGGAAGCUGUUGCAUUGUCCCGUCUUUCAGAUUUGUCUUUUCAGUGGCUAUUAAUCCCAGCAGCCACGUCUGUGGAUUGUAUUGUCUCAACUAGCUUGCUGUUUAUUAUUCUUUCUCUACAUUUCCCCCUAGGUUUUAUGUAAUAGAGGUGAAUUUGAAAUUAUGAAUGUUUUAUGUGAGAGGCAGCAAUUCAUUCAUGAACUUCUGUGUUUUUACUUUGAACUUUGAAACAUUGUUUGUUAUAUACGUGUAAAUAUCAAAGAAAAUACUUAAUGUCCUGAGUCAGAAGUCCCAGUUUUGUCAGUACACAACUGCUUGAUCUUGGGUUUAAGUUUGUUUUUUUUUUUUACGAGUUCUUUAUGUGUAAGAUGACAGGGUAGGACCAGAUGGUCUAUAGAGGACUCUUCCAGUUUUAAAAUUCUAUGAAAAUGGCAAGAAUUACAUAAUUAUAUUUGGCAGGAGUCAGAUUGUUUUAGCUGUGAAAAAUAAUAGUUCCCCUCUCACCCUAACUAGACUGUUCCUUUUUUUCCUCCCCUUGUUCAGCUUGUUACAUGCCUUCCUCUUAUUAAGUAGCUGUGGGUCACGGAGAAAGGAGAUGGCUUAGAGGUAUUAUGUAAUAAGCUAAAUUUUCAUUUUGGGUUACCUCAUUGUAGAACAGUAGCUGUCAAUAACUCCUCUUGUCAUGCCUGAUUAUGAAAUGCCUUUCCCAGUAUCAGGCCUCGAAGAAGCUCAAGUUUUCUUCGUAGAUAACCCUGUAAAUUGUUUUGCUGAUAAAUAAUGUUGCCUCUUCUCUGCAGUGCAUUGUAGUUGUAGACAUCCUUAAAAGGAAAAGUGAAAUGCUUGUGGAGGGGAAAGAAAGGGCAGGAUGGAAGCCUAAGUGAAGGACUACUAACCCAUGUCAGCAGAGGGAGAGCCAGAAAAAAAAUUUGUGUCUUUUCAAAAUGACAUCAGUGAAUCCAUCCUCUUAAACUUUUUGGUAAACUUGUCACUUUUUAUUAGAGCUUCGACUGAAGGAGUUAAGGACUCUGCCAUCAAAGGACUUUUUCAGGCCAUAGCUACUGCCUGUUAAAAAUAAAGGAUUUGACAGUG